AAGUUCGAGCGGAAUGAAGGGGAGCUUGCUCCUGGAUUCAGCGGCGGACGGGUGAGUAAUGGCCUAGGAAUCUGCCUGGUAGUGGGGGAUAACGUCCGGAAACGGGCGCUAAUACCGCAUACGUCCUGAGGGAGAAAGUGGGGGAUCUUCGGACCUCCCGCUAUCAGAUGAGCCUAGGUCGGAUUAGCUAGUUGGUGGGGUAAAGGCCUACCAAGGCGACGAUCCGUAACUGGUCUGAGAGGAUGAUGAGUCACACUGGAACUGAGACACGGUCCAGACUCCUACGGGAGGCAGCAGUGGGGAAUAUUGGACAAUGGGCGAAAGCCUGAUCCAGCCAUGCCGCGUGUGUGAAGAAGGUCUUCGGAUUGUAAAGCACUUUAAGUUGGGAGGAAGGGCAGUAAGUUAAUACCUUGCUGUUUUGACGUUACCAACAGAAUAAGCACCGGCUAACUUCGUGCCAGCAGCCGCGGUAAUACGAAGGGUGCAAGCGUUAAUCGGAAUUACUGGGCGUAAAGCGCGCGUAGGUGGUUCAGCAAGUUGGAUGUGAAAUCCCCGGGCUCAACCUGGGAACUGCAUCCAAAACUACUGAGCUAGAGUACGGUAGAGGGUGGUGGAAUUUCCUGUGUAGCGGUGAAAUGCGUAGAUAUAGGAAGGAACACCAGUGGCGAAGGCGACCACCUGGACUGAUACUGACACUGAGGUGCGAAAGCGUGGGGAGCAAACAGGAUUAGAUACCCUGGUAGUCCACGCCGUAACGAUGUCGACUAGCCGUUGGGAUCCCUUGAGA
rnacentral:rRNA from 1 species